AACGAACGCUGGCGGCAGGCCUAACACAUGCAAGUCGAGCGAGGACUUCGGUCCUAGCGGCGGACGGGUGAGUAACGCGUGGGAACGUGCCCUUUGCUUCGGAAUAGCCCUGGGAAACUGGGAGUAAUACCGGAUGAGCCCUUUGGGGGAAAGAUUUAUCGGCGAAGGAUCGGCCCGCGUUGGAUUAGGUAGUUGGUGGGGUAAUGGCCUACCAAGCCGACGAUCCAUAGCUGGUUUGAGAGGAUGAUCAGCCACACUGGGACUGAGACACGGCCCAGACUCCUACGCGAGGCAGCAGUGGGGAAUCUUAGACAAUGGGGGAAACCCUGAUCUAGCCAUGCCGCGUGAGCGAUGAAGGCCUUAGGGUUGUAAAGCUCUUUCAGCUGGGAAGAUAAUGACGGUACCAGCAGAAGAAGCCCCGGCUAACUCCGUG
rnacentral:rRNA from 1 species